AAAAAUUUAGUUAAUUUAUAACAUUGGUUUGUCAAACCAAAAUUAUUGAAAAAUAAUUUUUU
rnacentral:tRNA from 1 species